AUGCAAGUCGAACGAUGAAGCCCAGCUUGCUGGGUGGAUUAGUGGCGAACGGGUGAGUAACACGUGAGUAACCUGCCCUUGACUCUGGGAUAAGCGCUGGAAACGGCGUCUAAUACCGGAUACGACCUGCCCCGGCAUCGGGUGCGGGUGGAAAGUUUUUCGGUCAAGGAUGGACUCGCGGCCUAUCAGCUUGUUGGUGAGGUAAUGGCUCACCAAGGCGACGACGGGUAGCCGGCCUGAGAGGGUGACCGGCCACACUGGGACUGAGACACGGCCCAGACUCCUACGGGAGGCAGCAGUGGGGAAUAUUGCACAAUGGGCGAAAGCCUGAUGCAGCAACGCCGCGUGGGGGAUGACGGCCUUCGGGUUGUAAACCUCUUUUAGUAGGGAAGAAGGACUUCGGUUUGACGGUACCUGCAGAAAAAGCACCGGCUAACUACGUGCCAGCAGCCGCGGUAAUACGUAGGGUGCAAGCGUUGUCCGGAAUUAUUGGGCGUAAAGAGCUCGUAGGCGGUUUGUCGCGUCUGCUGUGAAAACCCGAGGCUCAACCUCGGGCCUGCAGUGGGUACGGGCAGACUAGAGUGCGGUAGGGGAGAAUGGAAUUCCUGGUGUA
rnacentral:rRNA from 1 species